GCUUUGCUCCAGGGCCCACAGUGUACAAGGAUCUUCUAACACACAUUGCUGCUGCUCCUCGAUACCACGGGCAAACAGCCUGAUCAACUGGCCAUGGACACUGCAGAGGGGAAGAUAGAAUUAUUUCCAGUAACCAAGACCAGUAACUUCCUGGAGUCUCCGCUGGUUGCCCGGUCAGGCUAGCUUUUCCCCGUUUCCAGUCUUUACGCUAAGCUAAGCUAACUGGCUGCUCCAGCUAGAUAUUUACCAUAGAGGAGGUGUCUGAGGAAGUUCAGACGGGAGCACUUCCUGACGAGGAUGAGGUCCGUGGUGCCGUCGGCGAGGUGAGCAGAGGGCGACAGGCCUUGUGGACUGCGGGGACACGCG